rnacentral:rRNA from 1 species
CAUUCACGGAGAGUUUGAUCCUGGCUCAGGACGAACGCUGGCGGCGUGCUUAACACAUGCAAGUCGAACGAUGAACCACUUCGGUGGGGAUUAGUGGCGAACGGGUGAGUAACACGUGGGCAAUCUGCCCUUCACUCUGGGACAAGCCCUGGAAACGGGGUCUAAUACCGGAUAACACCUUCCCUCUCCUGAGGGAGGGUUAAAAGCUCCGGCGGUGAAGGAUGAGCCCGCGGCCUAUCAGCUUGUUGGUGAGGUAAUGGCUCACCAAGGCGACGACGGGUAGCCGGCCUG